CUCGCCGCUGGCGUACUCGGAGAGCGCGGCGUCCUGCAAUCGAGCUAGCUGGCUCAGUCCGCAUCUCCGGCGUCAUUUGCUGCAACAAUACUUUUCCUUGAUUUGCAUCAGUUAAGGUUUUUAUAAUAAGAAUCUGAAGAUGGAUUGCACGCCUCUUAAAGGAUUUAUCUCGGAAUUCCUAUGGAUGGAAGGUCAAGGUCCGGUUUGCUAGGAUCUGGGAGCUCAGAAAUACAGAUCAGGGGAUUCUCUUCUCACUUGAUUAUGUCGUCGCUGACCAGCAGAUUAGAUCUAUUUGCACUGCUUUCCUAUCUACCAGAUUGUUUAGAUCUAAUGUAUCAGUCAAUCUGUUCGUGUGCCCGCUCUCGCAUCACGUCCCUUUCUUUGUAGUGUCUCACGCUAUGUGUGCCUAUCUUCCGUUUUUCUUUUCUCAUUUUCUUAUUGUAUGUUUGGUGCACGCGACUAAUAUGGCCUGUUACAAGUCAAAUUGAUAAAUAGGUAAACUUUCUUUAUUGUUGUCAUCUCUCUCAUUGUUGCUCGGCUUAGUGAUUCUCUCGAUUUGCCACUAUAUUGCUCUACUUUAUUAUUACAGAAUUUACUUUCUUCUUUGUUUUUGCAAUGCUUUACAGAAAGGCACAAUGGAAGGUUUAGUUUUUGGAAAUAGGGUGGAUCAGUUUAAAGAUCAGUUAAAGGAAGGGUCUGUUUACAUCAUGGAGAAAUUUGAUCUAUAUGGUCCUAGAAAGAGCUACAUAUCGGUAGAUCAUCCUUUGAGGACCUGUUUUACUCUAAGAACUGUGCUGACACCGCCGGAAAAUUUUCCUAUGUUUGCGUAUACUGUUCUGCUGUUUAGCAUGCUGUCAGAUUGCAUUGAUCAAAAUAUACUCCUAUCUGAUGUUGUUGGAUUGGUUAACAAAGUGACGGAUGUCUUUCCUCCCUCUGGUAAUGCUAAAAGUCAGAAGCGGCAAAAACAUAUCACAGAUGACAGCGAGCACGCCAUUGUUAAUUUGUGGAGGGGAGCAGGCUGAUUUAUCUGAUGCUGAUGGAUUAAUGGAGGAAUCAAAUGAAGAACCAAGUUUGCUGGCUUUCAAAAGUACAUAUGUUACAAGAUGGUAUGUGAAUAUGCCGAUUCCAGAGAAUGCCGCUGUCCGAGAUAGGUCCAAGCAUCUGCCGUGGCGUAUCGAGUUACACAGUGGAAACCAAGGUCGCACUGAGCCGAAAGUAUCGACUAUCGCAGAGAUUGCGACCUUUGAGUCUAAUUAUAUUAUGGUGUGGUAUUGUCAAAUGCGUUCCAAUCAGUGUGUUGUGGCUCUCAAGGUUUCCAGGCACCGGUGAAAUGAGAGUAAAAGAACAUCCUGCUGUAAGAGGAGUGACCCUAAUCAGAUCAUAUUCACAGAUGUUGCCAUGUAACAUGAGCAUAUCCGAGGAAGCGAAUUAGCAGAUCUUUCUCUUCAAAUGUAUGCAAUCAGCCAGUUGUUUGAUUUGCCAAGAAACCAUUAUCAGAUCAUAUUCAGAUGCUUUAAUCACCUCUACACGUAUGCAGUAACCGAAUAAUCACAUCAAUUCAUACAGAUACUUGGUCCAUAUUUUGGGUCUUUGGGAACUGCAUGACCCUCUGCAAUGUACACAUACACCUGGUACUAAACAUUCUAUGGGUUUAUUAGCUGGUUCCCUCUUCUCAGAUAUAUAAUUACUGCCCAUCAUGUUUAUUA